ACCAUGCUGAAACAGCCCAGCUACAGCGGUGUCUGGGCGAAAAGGUCACCCACAUGGAUUCUGUUGCUGAUUCUCUCAUCAGUCUCCUCGGAACACGUCCCGGUGGCGGCGAAAUUUGGGGAUUCGGUCACUCUGCCCUGCGACGGAAAACCCUACAGCCUUGGGAUCCC